CCUGUGCAAAGGCAGACUGUCAAGGCUCCUAGCUUCCCGUGUAGGCGGCGCUGCCAUUCCCAGCACUGUGAAAGCGUCCGCCAGCCGCCCUCAGAAGCUUUUGCAGGAAACUGGUGACUUCUCUCCUAAGUUACACAGACCAGACAAAAUGCUACCCCAAAGCAACCCGGUUGUUCUGAUUUUCUGAUUGGUGCCAUCUGCCAACACUUUACCUUUUGCCUGCAGAGGAGUAAGGCAGACUACAAAGAACAGGUUCAAGGACCUUGUGGAAUUUGAACUUGCACAGGCUUAUCAACUAUGGCUGAUUGUGAGUGAUAGCAAUAUAGAUACCUAAGAGAGUCAUGUUCAUUGAGUUGCAGAUGAUACUAUGCAGCCAACCAGACUUCAAUGGGCAGAUGACCUCACCAAUGUUUCCUGGAGCCCCACCUCCCCGGAGCCCUGCCCUCCUAGAGAAAGAUAGAAACAGGCUUGGGGUAUGGAUCAACUUGCCAACACCCAUGUUCAGCUGAGAAGCAAUUACAGAAGCCAGACCUUCUCCCUUCUGCACCCCAUAAUGAUCCUGGGUCUAUACUCCCAGAGGGAUAAAGAAUAGAGAAGCUUUCAAGGGAGUGGGGGAGGGGAUGGGAUACAGAACUCUGGUAGUGGGAAUUGUGUGGAAUUGUACUUCUCUUAUCCUAUGGUCUUGUUGAUAUUUUUAAUUUUAUGAAUAAAUUUAAAAUUUUUUUUAAAAGGUGGGAGGCAUGAUACUAUAGAGACUUCUGUGCUCUAUGUUGAAGAGUAGGAUAGUGGAUAAACACUGAAAAGAGUUUCUGCAUAGCCCAUAAGCUGAUGUCAAAAUACACAGUUAUAGGAGUCUGGCAGUAGUGCAGCGGGUUAAGCACAAGUGGCGCAAAGCACACAGACCCAUUGUAAGGAUUCUGGUUUGA